rnacentral:rRNA from 1 species
AGAUUAAUACCCCGUAAUAAAUUGAACGGCUAUCGUUUUGAUUUUGAAAAGCUCCGGGCGGUUUUGAGAUGAGUAUGCGUCUGAUUAGCUAGUUGGUGAGGUAACGGCUCACCAAGGCGACGAUCAGUAGGGGACCUGAGAGGACUAACCCCCACACUGGUACUGAGACACGGACCAGACUCCUACGGGAGGCAGCAGUAAGGAAUAUUGGUCAAUGGAGGCAACUCUGAACCAGCCAUGCCGCGUGCAGGAUGACGGCCUAUGGGUUGUAAACUGCUUUUAUACAAGAGAAAACCCUGGUACGUGUACCAAGUUGAUAGUAUUGUAAGAAUAAGCAUCGGCUAACUUCGUG